rnacentral:lncRNA from 1 species
AUUGUGGCUUCUUAAGUUUUAUUGGAGGAUUAUUUGGGGCUAAUGUCCAACAGGAUAAAGAUAACUAGUUGUUAGGUUAUUAGAAAAGCCAAUGUAUGAAAUGUUUGAGAUCAUUUAGAAUACUUAAGAGCUAUUGAUGUACUUAAGUAAUGAUCAUGUUAUUAAAUUUAAUAUUAGACGUGGUAGGUCUACAAUCCACUAAGGUUAAGUUGAAUCUAAACUAAGGGUUGAGCUAUUAGCUAUGUGGUUACAAUAAUUUGUGUAAUAUUGUAUUGUUUUCUUUCAUGCUUAUAAAGAUUGAAGUUUGAGUUAUGUAUGAAAAUAUUGAAUGUAUUCG